UUGGCCAUCUUGUGUUCAUAUGGAUUAGGAUGAUUGUGCAUGUGCUUUUCCCUUAUGCUUUCCCUUGAUGAUAUCGUCAGCAUGUAUUGGUACCUUGCAUAGAAGGUGAAAUCGAUAAAGUGAUUGGGUUCGAGACUUGUGAAUCCAUAGUGCAGAGAAAUGGAUGGGCUUCGACGGUUGGGUCUAAUGAUGUAACAAAGACGAGUGGCAUCUAGUCGUAGCAAACAAAAUGAACGAAGUGCCAUUUAGGUUGAUAGUAAGCAAAAAAUAAAUCGAACACAUAUGAGUCGGUGUAUGUGUAAGGAAAGUAUUCUCAAAACUCGAGGAUUAACUUCGAACCGCAAAAAAUUCCCGACCCUAAAGUUUGUCGAGUGCGUAGGCUUCCGUAAAGUCCGAAGGUGUUUAAAUUGCAUAAAUGUAUAAGGACAGGGCCCGCGAGAGGCACCAAGAUGGCAAAACUGCACCUGGAGCAGAAUUUGCUCUCGGGCACCGGUGCCCUGGCGAGGAGGGCCGUUCCAUCAGGCCUGGUUGCGGAGGUUCUCUGAUGAGACGUCCUGGUGGCAGCGGACCGUUCCCACCGACAGUUGGCCCUGGCGAGACUUAACCAGAAUUUGGCUAAGUCCGGAAUCAGCUCUCGGGAACCGUCUCUCAGAACAAGGACCGGUUCCCGGGGACCGGUUCUCAGGUAAAGGACCGUUCCCGAACGCGAAAUCCCCUCUGACUCAAAGUGGCAGCGCCUUCGGGACUGGUCUCCCCGAGCUGGGACUGGCCCCGUCGCUGCGAAAAUGCCCAGAGGAGGGCUGGUUUCAGAUUGUGAAAAGUUGAGGGGGCUAACUGUAAAAAUGGCCUUUAUAGUGCGCUUGGGGAACCCUCUACUCUCUCUCACGUCUGCUCUCUCUCUCUCUCGUCAAACUGAAUUUUCCCUUUCUCUCUCUAGAAAGAAAGAAAAGAAAGAGAAGAAGAGAAAGAAAGAAGAAGAAGGAGAAGAGAAGACUAAGAAAGAUAGAGAACGAUAUGCUUUUCUCUCCUCGUCCCUCAACGCUUGAACGCGCAGGCCUUGUGUAGGGGUAAGCCCUAAACCCUUUAAUGGCUGUUUCUAGGGUUUUGAUUUCUUAUGGUGAUUUGGUUUGAAUGGACCUAAUGGGAUAGGGACGAGGUCGAGCUCAGCAAUUGAGGCUCGCACCAAGGAUUUCUUCCCCGUUGCCAUUCUAGGGCACGGAGGAAGAUUUUGAAUCUAAGGUUUUGAUCUAAUCUUAAUAGGUUCGCACACUAAUUCUAAGCUCCGGAACGCGUCAGGGAAGAAUAAUUUCUUCGAUCCCCCCCGAAAACCCCGGAGCCGGUGCAGAGAAAUCGCCGAAUCGGGUACUCGAGGGCUCGCUUUGCUCGAGGAGUUUGGAGCCGGCGUGCAAGAACGCAAACGUCCGAGCUUUCUACUAUCGCGGCAUCGCCAAGAGGUGGGUGGUGUCCAUCCGAAGCAAUCGGCCUCCUUCUAUGUCUUUAGUACAUUUUGGAUCUGCAUCUUGUAUUAUUGCAUUAUCAGGGAUGAUUAUGCAUGCCUUUCUUAAUGCUUCCUUGGAUUCGUAAGCACGCUAUUGGAUAUUUGAACCGUAGUGGAUUGAUAAGGUAUUGGGCUCGAGACUUGUGAACCUAUAGUGCCGAGAAAGUGAUGGGCUCAAUGGUUUGUUCUAAUGCUAAACAAAGAACGAGUGGCAUCUAGUCGAUAGUAACAGAUGGGACGAGUGGCAUGUAUUGAAUAGUAAGCAAAAGCACAAUUGACACAUACUGCUGAGUCAUAGUAGUACAUGAAACCUUGGACCUAUAUGAAUGAUUUGUGACCCUAGAGGAACAGGGUAUCCUCAAGCUUUAGAGGUAUGGCAUCAUGCCUCACAGGUCUGUUAAUAUCCUUGUGAAUGGAACGCCCCACACAAGUAGCUGCGCUCUGGAUGUGUGGUCACAGCCAGGGAUUGCCUAUUUGGCCCGCAGACGGUCUCGGGUCUGUAGUUCGAGUUAAAUUCUCCCUACGUGUCGAGAUGGCUAGAUGAAGCAUGUAGGCGAGCCUCCUACGGGGUAAGCCAUGAGAUUUGAUGAAACAAUAAAUGAGGUAAACAAUCGAUGUGACAGUAGCUUCAUCUUUGAACACAUGAUAACCCGGGUAGACUGCUGUACCUAUUUCAAUUGUACAUGCAUCAUAUAUAUGAUUGUGGAUAGUAGAGUAAGCUUUUAUUUCUGUCAUCCUACCGCUUUCUUAUCUAUUCUAUCUAAAUUGUAUCAUCUAACUUGUGCCCGCUUGACCUAGGUGGGGAGAUCGGCGGAGUCGCGCCGGAAACCACUGGGAACUAAAAGGAAGGUUAGUUCUCACCCCAUUUUAAACAUAACAAGGCAUUCAGUUCGGUGAUCCCGGUGAACGUAGAGGAUCGCGGUAAGAGCCCGGCGCUUAUUAGUCCAUUAGCUACCCUCCAUUUUUGUAACUACAGCAUCGUACAACCAUCUUUAUAAUUGAGAGUAGAUGUUGUUUAGGGUGAGGUGGAUGAUUGUAUUUAUCAUUUUGGAAAGAUGAUAAAAGAUACUCAGUAUGAAAUGUUUAACGUAAAUGAAUGUAAUAGAUAGCUUUUCUCUCCUUGAUGUACCUUUGAUAUAUGUUUCUAUAUUCGUACUCUUGCUCUGUUUGUCGCACUGGUGGUGCUUCUUUAUGUGUAUUUAUCAAUUGAUCUCCUGGGUAAAUUCUCAUACAUGAUCUGUUGGUAGCCUUGACUCCGGCAGCGGGAGGUCCUGUCCGUUCGCGUCUGUUCGACGCGCCCGGGCCGGACCAAAGGUAGCGGUUCCACGGGGCUGACAGUAUGUGAAACCUCUGGAACUUAUACUGAUGAUUGAUCCUUAAAAGGAUAGGGUAUUCAUCGAGACCGAGGUUUGGAUCAUAGCUCAAGGUCUGCUUUUUAAUCCUUGUGAUGAGCCCCACCACAAGUAGGCGCAUCAGGAGGUUGGUCACGUGGGAUUGCCUAUUUUGGUCCAAGGGAUGCCUACUUUUAGGCCCGGCAGACGGUCUCGGUUCGUAGUGCGAGUUGAACCUCCCUAACCCUUCGAGAUGCCUAGUAGCUAGGCUCCUUCAGGGAGCCACGAGAUUGUAAGAAAACAAAGUAAAUGAGAUUGAUGAACGAGUAAAAUGAGCUUUACUUUGGACAUGAUAAUGGGUUAUUGUGUUUAUCUAUUUUCUAUUGUACAUGCAUUCCAUAUAUUUAAUGAUUGGCAUCACGUAGCGUAGCUAUUACUUCUGUCAUUUACCCGCUUUCCUUAUCUUAUCCUAUCUAUCGAGUUUAUUACUUUUGCCCGCUUGGACCUAGUUGGGGAAGGAUUGGCGGCAGUCGCCGGCCCGAACCCACUGGGACUAAGGAAGUUACGUUCUCACCCCAUUUUGAGCUACAGGGGCCGAGGCGCCGAGUGUCACCACGGCGAGGAUCGCGGUAGAGGCCUAGCGCCAUAUUGCACUUAAGUUUACGUUUCCUAAUUUCUGCAUUAGUCACCUUAUAUGUCAUUGACGAGUAGCAGUAUGUAUAGGACGUGAGAUAUUCUGGAAUGAAUUAAGCAAUGUUUAUAUUUUGAAAGAUGUAACGCUUUAUUAUUAUAUAGAAGCUUUAAAUGUAUAAUCAAAUUAUUAUAAAGCUAGAGAUAGAAUGUAGAUACGAUGUUUACUCUCUUUAUCAUAUCCGGAUGUUCGUUAAUACUAUGUAUCUUGCUCUUAGUGUGUUUUAGCACUGUAUUGUGCUCCCUCGUAGUUGUUAAGUGAUCAUAAAUAUGCAUUCAAGUGAUCCUGGGAAAACUUGUUUACAGUGGAUCCGCUGUUGCCAUUGGGCGACAGGCGAAGUCUGUCCGUUCGGCUCUGUUCAACCCGCGCCGAACUCGGACCAAAUUGGUAUCGUUUCGGGCGUUGAACUCCGUCACCCGAUACCACAUGACCCAUGAUGGACUCCUGUUAGCUCAAAAGUCACACUUCUUCAACUUUGCUAGAGCUUCUCUGCCUAAGUAUCUGCCAACACACUCUCAAGCUUGUAUUGUAUCCGACUUCUAAAAUCAUGAAUUACUGGUGAACAUUGGUUGGGAAACCAUUGUGAAAGGUCCCGGAUGAGGUCGGAGCUCGGCGUUUUCGCGUGCGCGUAGGCCGCUAAACACGAGCCGAAAGGCCAUGUUGNNNNNNNNNNNNNNNNNNNNNNNNNGCCGUGAGCUAAAUCCGGCAUUAGCGAGGAUGGAAAGAUGAUGAAAACAUGUUUGGAAACAUGUUUGGAGAGUUUCGGUUCGAUUUGAGACGAAUCGGAGGUCAAACGAGCAAAAACCAGCGAAAACGGACCCCGAAAACGAAAAAGGCUGAAAUUUGGCUAAGUCCUAAAAAUGCUGAAAUUCUGGUCCUUAGAGGACCGGUCUCUCAUCGCAAGGACCGGUCCCAGAGCGCGAAAAAUGCCCAGUUCGGGCUGUUGCGAGGUUAGAAGAGUUGGGGGGCUUAUUUAGAAAUGUUACAAGUGUGAGAGGGGUUAAGAGAGGACUUUCUCUCUCUCUUUCUCUCAUUCCCUCACUCUCCCUCACGUUUCUCUCUCUCCCUCUAAACAAAAGAAGAAGAAGAAGAGAAGAAUAAGAAGAAAAGAAAGAAGGAGAAGAAGGAGAAGAAGAUCAAGAGGGUGGUCGUCUCCAUCUUCUUCUCUCCUUCCUUGCCAUUGGAGCAUCUUGAGGGGUAAGCUUGCUACCCUUGCUAAUGGUAGAUCUCUAAGGAUGUAGUUUUGAUCUCUAUGAAUGGUUUAGAUGGAAUCCUAGCAAGCUUAAUUGAUGAUUAGCACUUGAAUCCGAAGCUUUAAUAGCGGAUUUUGCCGUAAUUGCAAUUAGGGCUCCAAAAUGGGGUUUUGAUACAUAAGGGGUUUUGAUCUUAAUUGACCCUUCUCUAACCUAAUUGGUAGGUCUACGAACGCAACGGUGCGCUCGGUUCGGCGAUCCGACGAGUGUACGCGGAGAUACUGAGGAUCGAAGCCGUUAAGGUACAGAUUGCCGCAGCUCGCGGCGUAAGCUUCCAAAAAUCAUGAAAAUGGAAUCGUAGCAUCGUGGUGUCGGGGAAUAAACUCCAGAACAAACGGAUCGCGGAUAGGAGGUUAUUUGGCAGUCGCGCGUGAGUUGGGUCGAGCUGUGCGGCGUGCGCCGCAGGAGGCCGAUUGCGAGUGACGACGAGCAAUCGGAACGCUAUAAAAGGUGGGUGGUGUCCAUCCCGAAGCAAUCGGGCUCCCUUUUAUGUCUAAGUUUUAUAUUGAUCAAAUUGCAUAUUGACAUCUUGCAUUAUAGGGUGAUAAAUGAUGGUUUGGUCCUAUACCUUGCAUGUUCUUUGGUAGAAUAAUGUAUUUGGCUUAGUACUUAUAUCUAGCAUGCUUGAGGUUUAUAUAUGUGAUGUGGAACCCUAUAAUGAGAUGAUAAGUGUGGAUGGGAAUUUAGUAAUGUAUUGGCUAUUGCAUUGGAAACUUGUAAAGAACGAGUGGCAUCUAGUUGAUAGUAAACAAAAGAACGAGUGACAUAUGUGAGUCGUAGUGUAUAUGAAACCUAUGGACUAUAUGAUGAUUGUGACCCUAGAGGACAGGGUAUCCUCGAGCUUAGAGGAUUGGAUCAUGCUCACGGUCUGUUUUAAAUCUUGUGAUGGAAGCCCCACACAAGUAGUGCGCUCCGGAGUUGGUCACGUGGGAUUGCCGAUUUCGGGUCCCAAGGGAUUGCCUAUUUGGCCCCGCCAGACGGUCUCGGGUCCGUAGUGUGAGUUAAUUCUCCCUACGUGUCGAGAUGGCUAGUGAGCUGUAGGCGAGCCUUCGGGUAAGCCAUGAGAUUAAUGAACAAGUAAAUGAGGUUAAUGAACGAGUGAAUAGCUUCACCUUUGGACAUGAUAACAGGUUAGUUGCUUACCUAUUUCAUUGUACAUGCAUUCAUAUAUUAUGAUUGGGCAUAGUAGAGUAGCUUUACUUCUGUCCUUUACCGCUUUCCUUAUCUAUCUAUCUAUCUAUCGAUUAUCUACUUGUGCCCAACUUGGACCUAGUGGGGAGAUCGGCGGAGUCGGCGGCCGAACCCACUGGGAACUAAGGAAGUUAGUUCUCACCCCCAUUUUACUACAGGGUCGAGCGCGAGUUCACACGGCGAGGAUCGCGGUAAGGGCCUAGCGCCCUAGUUGCAUUAGUUUACCUUCCUAUUUUCUGCAUUAGAGUUAUUUUUAUAUACAUUGAGAGUAGAUGAUGUAUAGGUUGUGAGCUAUUUUGGGAGGAAUGUAAGCUAAUGUUUAUAUUUUGGAAGUUCAAUGUAUAAUCGAAUUGUAAUCUAAUAGUUGAAUGAAUGUAAUAGAUAGAUGUUCUCUCUUUAUCAUUACUUGUAUGUUCUAUACUUGUAUCUUGCUCUUUGUUGUUUUGCACUGAUUGUGCUCUCGUUGCAGUUAUCGAUUGUGUAUGUAUUCAAGUUAUUUUCCUGGGAACUUGUUGUACACAAUCUCGUUGUUAGCCUUGGGCGGACAGGGGAGGUGCUGUCCGUCCGGCGUCUGUUCGACGCGCCCGGGCCGAGCCAAAUUGGGAUCCACCGCAAUACCUGAUCCCGAUAUCAAAUGUCUAAGGAAAGCUACCUCUCGAAGCCAAAAUUCACACUUCUUCAACUUAGCAUAAAGCUCCUUUUCCCGAAGUACUUGGAGUACAAUUCUCAAAUGCUCCUCGUGAUCUGUAUCGCUUCGAGAGUAGACCAAAAUAUCGUCGAUGAACACCACGACGAACCUGUCUAGAUAAGGCUUGAAAACACGGUUCAUUAGAUCCAUAAAAGCUGCCGGGGCAUUAGUCAGCCCAAACGGCAUAACUAUGAACUCAUAGUGUCCAUACCGUGUUCUAAAAUCCGUCUUCGAUACAUCUUCGGGUUUGAUCUUCAAUUGGUGGUAUCCAGACUGCAAGUCUAUCUUGGAAUACACACACGAUCCCUGAAGCUGAUCAAACAAGUCGUCGAUCCUCGGCAAUGGAUACUUGUUCUUGAUCGUGACUUUAUUGAGUUCACGAUAAUCCACACAAAGGCGAAGUGAUCCGUCUUUCUUCUUGACAAACAAAACGGGUGCUCCCCAAGACGAAACGCUCGGCCGAAUUAAGCCCUUGUCCAACAAAUCCUGCAACUGUGCCCUUAGCUCCCUCAGCUCUACCGGUGCCAUCCUAUAGGGUGCCUUUGAGAUUGGGGUAGUCCCAGGGGCGAGAUCUACCACAAACUCAAUCUCCCUAUCAGGAGGCAUACCCGAAAGCUCAGCUGGAAACACAUCCUGAAACUCUCGCACCACCGGGAUAUCCUCGAUCCUAGGGGUGUCAUCCUCGCCCCUCAACAAGACACUAGCCAAAUAGGCUACGCAACCUCUGCUGAUCAGCUGCCUAGCUCAAGACGAGCUGAUCGUCAUCGCAAACAGCGAACUCCGGCAUCCACAAAAUACCACCUCGGUCUGCCCCGGUUCUCUAAAAGUAACCGUGCGAUUCUUGCAAUCAAACGUGGCAUAAUACUUGGUCAACCAAUCCAUGCCCAAGACCACGUCAAAAUCCCCAAGCUUGCGCAAGGUUAGCAAAUCUACAGGCAUGAUCCAAUCUCCUACCCGAACAGGGCAACUGGGGCUAUACUCUCUAAUAUCCAAAGUGUGGUCGGGUACAACAACUUGUCCCGGAUGCAACAAAGAAACCAAUGGGAUGCCAUGCAACUCGGCAAACAGCCGAUCUAUAAAUGAAUGCGAUGCAUCGGUAUCAAAUAAAGCACGAACUCUAAUGCCAUCAAGUAAAAUGAUACAUGCAACCACAUCCUCGGCUGCNGCUGCCGCCUCCUCGGUCUGAGCCGCGUACAUGCGCCCACUCGGGGCCUGUCGAGAUCCCUCGCUCUGGCGCUGGACGGGUGGCCGCCCAGGCUGGUACUGUGCCGAUGGAGUCCCCUGGCCGGCGGCUGGUAGAGCCGGUGCCGAUGCAGUAGACGGUGCCGGUGACGAACCCCUCGGGCACUCGGUCCGAAAGUGGCGCUCCUGGCCACACAAAAAGCACCUCCCUCCCCGCUGAGGACACUGCGGUGGAACGUGGGGACCACCACAGAUCACACACUGGGAGGUCGGCGUCGAUCGGAACCUCCACGGUAAGCUGCUGAGCCGCGACCACGCUGUUGGCUCCUAGGAUGCUUCGGCGGCCUCCUAGAGUGCACCUGGCUCGCACUCUCAGCCGCAGGCCUCUUGGCCUUCCCUUUGUCCCUAGCCUCUCGCUGCUCCUGGACAUCCGCCGCGUCGCUCUCCACAAUGAGCGCGCGAUCCACCACCUCCCGGUAGGUUUGGAGGUUAGAGGAUUGCACNAAUACUGCUCUAGCUCUAGUGCCUUUAAUCACAAUUAUACCUGCCACGACGUCAUCGGGUGCUGUAGGUUACUGCUCCUCCACCUGAACGGCGAAAACCCGGCCGCUAGGCGCUCGUGAUCCCUUCGGCUGACGCGGUGAUGAUGCGCGCCCAGCCGACAUCGCUGCUGGUAACCGCGCAAGCUGUCUCGGGGUAGACGGUGCUGAUGCAGCCGUCGGCGCAGACGACGUCCAGCUCGGGCACUCCCGGAUAAGAUGUCCCGGUUGGCCGCACUUGAAACACUUGCCAUCGCGUUGCGGGCAAGUCGACACUCGGUGCUCUCCGCCACAAAUGACGCACCGAGGUGGUCUACAGCUCCUCACCUGCUGUCGGGGAUACCGAGGGGGUUUCGUUUCCGCCUCGGAGGCCGAGACAACAUUGUAGUAAGUGCCGAGAAGCGUUCUUAGAGCCUCGACAUCGUGGAAAGGUGGGUGGUGUCAUCCCGAAG
rnacentral:lncRNA from 1 species